CACUCUGCUGAGUUACUCUGUCAUUCAAUGUCGACCGUUUCUGUUCUUCUCAAUAAAAAAGCCUUGGUCAAACCCUAGGUAUUCUCAUCAAAUCUAUUUCGUUCAGUUGCAAUUGAAAACUGUCGAAUGGUUUUCUCAAAGAAAUUUUUUCCCUUUCGUAUUGGUUGAUAAUAUGGAAUCAUCGAUCAAUGGAUUUUUAAAUGAUCAAUCAUCGAAUGAUUCGUUCUUUUAACAUAUGGAAGGACGCAUUGAAUUUGCAAAGGUGUGUUGUUUCAAGUAUCCUUGCCUAAUCCAUGCACAUUGAAAUGACACUUUAUGGAUGCAUUCUAGAUGUUAGGUGAAAUAACAAACAGAACUUUGAUAUACAGAGUUGCAUUUCAUACUGAAGGAAACAAUAGCAGGAGAGAAAGAAUACCGGUAAUGAAAGACACUGUAAGUAUAGCUCUUUUUGUGAUGAUUAUAUAGGUCGGGUUUGCAAUUAUUUAUCAAAUAUCAUCAAACAGAACUUGGUAAGUAUUUUAGUAUGAAAUUAUCGAUAGUGCUUAUGGGUCUGCCACCAAACCCAUUAGAGCUGCAGAUUCAAAAGCCUAGGGGGGUCUGUGUUUCAAAGACAUGAUUUAUUUUUCUAUGUAUUUCGCAGAGAGAAAAAAAAUAUAAAAUUCAAUAAGUGGUUUUGGCAUUUUUUACGAGACGUUGUCUGUAGACACAUACAUUUCAUUGCAGGACAUCACCAAGGGGCUAAAUGGAAUGUGACAAAGGUCGUCGUUAAAAUACUCCAAAAAAAAUGGUUCUACUAAUCCUGAUGUAAUGUAUGCCUCUCGCUGUAUUUUUUUCUUUCUUAUCUCGACUCAAUUUUUUUUUCAUAUGAUCUAAAGAGAAUGUUGUCUAUAGACAUAAUUUUCUUAUCUUUGGUAUUUCCCAAAGAGCAAAAAAAUAUAAAAUUUAAUAAGUAGCUUUGGUAUUUUUAAGAGACGUUGUCCGUAGAUAAAAAGAUUUCCUUGCAGAACUUCACCAAGUGGUUAAAUGGAAUGUGACAGAGGUCGUCGUUAAAAUACUCAAAAAUGAUGGUUCUACUGAUCCUGAUGUAAUGCAUGUCUCUCGCUGUAUUUUUUUCUUUCCUACCUCGAUUUGUUUUUUAUAUGAUCUUAAGAGAAUGUUGUCUUCAUCUUUAGUAUGAUUGCUUCUUAAACCCUGGACCAAUAAGGAAAUUGAAGCCACCAAAGCAAGUUACACUUGAGCUCAUAGUUGGUGGAUUCUAUAAAUCCUCCCAAGCAAGAGUUGCCUAUGAAUUGAUGUACAUAUUCAUCAAGGAUAUGUUCUGGAGUCCUUUGUUUUCUUUGAUCACCGGUUGAAAUAAUUAUAUUGUUGCCCGGUAUAUCUAUUUAUGGUGAGCGUAAAGUUUUUGUAUUAAGACUUCUUUAAUACAAGAUUUAAUUAGAGCCAUUAAAUUUGGAUGAAAGGUAAAUCUGUAUUUAUUUUCUCUCUAUUUUUUUGUUAAAAGAUUCUACUCUUAUAAAAAAUCGAAAUGGUUGGUUAAUAGUUUUUUGGAACUUAUAUGAAUAUUUCCUAUCACAGGUGUACGGUUACAAAUAGGUUCGGGCAAGAAAUUCUUCAUCGGAAUUUGUAAAGGUAAACAAUCUCACAUUACUGUGUUUUUAAACAGAUCUUUGCUGCUUGCUACUUAAGUGUAUCAAAUGUGGCUAUAGUAGCUAUUUGUGAUCAUGAACAGAUGCUUAGGGUUCCCUUUUUCCAAUUUGAUUGUUGUGCAUGAUGUAUAUCACACCAUCCAGACAAGUAGUAUGUCAGUUGAAUAGAAACUGCAAUGUAGGUGUUAAUUCUGCCUCUUAUUUAGUGUUCGAAACCAACUUCUCAGCCACUACAAAGAUUUAAUGGCUAUCAUCAUGUACUCAAAGGAGAUUGAACAUUGUCGGCUAAAAAUUACUUUGAAUUUAUACAUCCAUAUGUUUAUGUAAAUGAACUUUCCUUGCAAUUUAUCACCAUAAAAGAACCACAAAAAAUAGGGCUUCAAUAUUAAUGUGCAUGAUUUUUGUUGAGAUUAAUCAGAUUUACAUCUAUAUGACGACCUUCAUGUAGCUUAGGCAUGGGUGUGCAAAAUACGUUAACUAUUUCGAUGUACUCAGGUUGUCAUGCCAUAUACUUCAAUGUGAUUACUUCGUUAUGUUUUGCCCUACGUCAAAGGCCACUUAUAAGCUUACUCUUUGACUUAGUUUGAAAUGAAACAUCCUCCGAGUGAGACACUUGCGUUGCUCUAAUUAGCUACGAAGCCAUCCGUUCCUAGAGGAUGUGGGUCUUUGGAUGAAUUAUCCCAUCUCAUGUUUUGACUAUUUAGCCAUUCUAAUUUAUAUUUUCAGCGAUUAUCUUUUUAUGUUCAAUGCUUUUGAACAGUGAGUCUACUAUACAAGAAAAUGAGUUUGAUUAUGAAGAUGGGUUCCUACAGGAGAAAUUCUCAGGGUAAUGCAGUUUACAAUUUACUAUAUAAAAAGUUAAAUCUUACAAGAAAAUAUUUCAGCAGUACGAAAGUGCAAAUGGCAAGUUGAACGUGACUGUUUAUUGGUGACUCAGUGGGCGAUUUGCUAUGCCUGCUUGAAGCUGAUACCGAGGUCGAAGGUAAGGAGUAAGCAUAGUGUCAAUUUCUCUUCUAUCUCUGGGAUUGUAAAUAAGCAACUAAUCUUCUGGCUGGGAUAGUGUUUCUGGAGUGGUAGAGGGAUAGACCCGUAGCAGACCAAAGAGAUCCUAAUAUUUCUUGCAACUUUGGUCCGAUUGUUGAGAUUUUUCCCGUAUUACCUAUAUUGGGUUUUGUAAUAUUCAGCUGACCACUUAUUUCAAGUUUACUGGAGUUAUGUAAUUGGUGUCGGCUUAAUAACCUUCAUUAUUGUUAUACUACUUU